UACGUAGGGGGCAAGCGUUGUCCGGAUUUAUUGGGCGUAAAGAGCGUGUAGGCGGCUUUACAGGUCCGUUGUGAAAACUCGAGGCUCAACCUCGAGACGCCGGUGGAAACCGUAAAGCUAGAGUCCGGAAGAGGAGAGUGGAAUUCCUGGUGUAGCGGUGAAAUGCGCAGAUAUCAGGAAGAGCACCCGUGGCUAAGGCGGCUCUCUAGUACGGUACUGACGCUGAGACGCGAAAGCGUGGGGAGCAAACAGG
rnacentral:rRNA from 1 species